UGGGGAAUUUUGGACAAUGGGGGAAACCCUGAUCCAGCCAUCCCGCGUGUGCGAUGAAGGCCUUCGGGUUGUAAAGCACUUUUGGCAGGAAAGAAACGUCGCGGGUUAAUACCCCGCGAAACUGACGGUACCUGCAGAAUAAGCACCGGCUAACUACGUGCCAGCAGCCGCGGUAAUACGUAGGGUGCAAGCGUUAAUCGGAAUUACUGGGCGUAAAGCGUGCGCAGGCGGUUCGGAAAGAAAGAUGUGAAAUCCCAGAGCUUAACUUUGGAACUGCAUUUUUAACUACCGGGCUAGAGUGUGUCAGAGGGAGGUGGAAUUCCGCGUGUAGCAGUGAAAUGCGUAGAUAUGCGGGGGGAACACCGAUGGCGAAGGCAGCCUCCUGGGAUAACACUGACGCUCAUGCACGAAAGCGUGGGGAGCAAACAGGAUUAGAUACCCUGGUAGUCCACGCCCUAAACGAUGUCAACUAGCUGUUGGGGCCUUCGGGCCUUGGUAGCGCAGCUAACGCGUGAAGUUGACCGCCUGGGGGAGUACGGUCGCAAGAUUAAAACUUAAAUGAAUUGACGGGGUCAUAGCUGUUUCCUG
rnacentral:rRNA from 1 species